UGUUGAUUUUGGGUUUGUGGUGGGGAUGAUAUAAAGAUAAUGGAAAGGAUGUAUGAUAUGAUGGAUGGUGUUGGGUAUCAUGUAUGACUAUGUAAUGAUAAGUAAACAGUCCGAAUCUUUUGAUAUACUUUCAUGUUGAAUAUCAUACGUAGAAACAAUGACAUACAUCAAUGAACUUGUUCGACGUGCAUGAUAUAUACACAGCACUGUCUAUGUAUGAUAUCGAUCUAUAUUACUGAUCUCACCAAAUAUUUGUUUUCGUAGUAAGUGACAUAAAUAUAAUAUGACUCAUGUAAAAGAUUCCAAAGAUAAUAAUUCAAAAUAAAAGAAACGGGCCACAAAGCACAAGCUAAAGAAGAGUAAAGCCAAAAGUCGCAAGCAAUAAAAUAAAUAAAAGAUGGCGUUAGAGUAUAUUUAUAAUCACAUGACCCGCAUUGAAUUAUGAAGGACAAAGACGUUUCAUAAAUGUAGAGAAAAAUAUCUAACGGAUGAGAUUCUCUACAAGAGUAUAAUCUGUACUUCAAAACACUUCAAUUAGAAAAAUAGUAGUAUAUAGAAAACGUUAGGUAGACUAAAACUUACUUUUAAUUAAAACUAAAAAGAGACGUGAGAGACCUUAAUGGUGGUGGCGUGUAAACAACAAGUGAAGGGGGUGUAUGUUUAAAGAAAGAUAAAGCUCUCUAAACAUCAACAACGUAACAUAUGAAACACUUGGAGCAAUGUUCAUGCGUUCAUAACAUUAACAUUGACAACAGAUGAUGCUUCAUACGUUCCAGUCUCAGUGAGUUUCAUUUGUUUUCUACAAAACAAAAAUUAAAUUGACAUCUACUUGUUAGUUUCUGUAUCUAUCAGCAUUUCCAGCUUGUGUAUUACAUUCUAUACAUUGUCUUAAUAAACGGGAUAUUAACUGUAAAUGAUAGCCAACAACAAAUCUAAGUGUGAGAAGAUCUAGCUAGGAUUCAUCUCUUGGCAUUUCGAAUUGUGAAACUUUCAAUAUGGGUGAUGAUCAUGAUGACUUCGUCGAAUCAUACAGUGGAAAAGUGAAGUUCAAAUUGUAGUGUAGAACUACUCUUAUAAUUAUGUGAAAAUGUGUUUGAUUAAUUUUUAGUUUUAGAAUAACUAAGUAUAAAGAUAAUAACUCUUUUUUUUUUAACAAGAAGAUAAUAACUCUCUUUUAAGUUUUAAUAAGUAUAAUUUUAUAACGAAACAAAAAAUGAUUAAAAAGUGCUUAUUAGUAAUAUUUCCAAUUAAUGUACAUGAAAUAUAUUUAAAAAACAACCGUUUACAUAUAGUAAAGUCAUAUUAUAGAUUAGAGACAUUAGACGCAAAGCACAACUGUAACCCUAAAUUGACAAAAGACUCUUAUCCGCAGUUCUCCGCCGGAACCAUGUCUAAACAACUCAGAAGUUAUGGUGGUAAGACCUCUCUUUCUUUGUUCACGAUCUUCUUUACUUUUUUUUCCCCUAUCGUAAUUUGAUUACUCGUUGUCCAUUGGCAGAAUCUAGCACAUGCGUCUUUUGGAACGUGGAGGAUUACCCAAUCCCUGAGGGUCUCGAUCCUCAUUCAGUGGAAGAGAAAAUCAAAUCAGAAGUCGCAGCUAUGAACUUUUGUGGGGAUUUGUCAGUCCAGUUUUAUGGUAAUAAGACUAGGUUCUCGGACGAUGAUGGAUUGCUACGUAAAUAUUCCGAUGCGGGAAUCAAAACCGGUAUCUUACCGUAAGACGAUAAGUAUGCGGGGAUUUACUCAAUGUUAUUGGACAUGUACCAAUGGGGG
rnacentral:lncRNA from 1 species